rnacentral:rRNA from 1 species
CCUACGGGGGGCAGCAGUGGGGAAUAUUGGACAAUGGGGGGAACCCUGAUCCAGCCAUGCCGCGUGUGUGAAGAAGGCCCUCGGGUUGUAAAGCACUUUCAGUGAGGAAGAACGCCUGGUGGUUAAUACCCAUCAGGAAAGACAUCACUCACAGAAGAAGCACCGGCUAACUCCGUGCCAGCAGCCGCGGUAAUACGGAGGGUGCGAGCGUUAAUCGGAAUUACUGGGCGUAAAGCGCGCGUAGGUGGCUUGAUAAGCCGGUUGUGAAAGCCCCGGGCUCAACCUGGGAAUGGCAUCCGGAACUGUCAAGCUAGAGUGCAGGAGAGGAAGGUAGAAUUCCCGGUGUAGCGGUGAAAUGCGUAGAGAUCGGGAGGAAUACCAGUGGCGAAGGCGGCCUUCUGGACUGACACUGACACUGAGGUGCGAAAGCGUGGGUAGCAAACAGGAUUAGAUACCCUAGUAGUC